rnacentral:rRNA from 1 species
CCUACGGGGGGCAGCAGUCGAGAAUCAUUCACAAUGGGGGAAACCCUGAUGGUGCGACGCCGCGUGGGGGAAUGAAGGUCUUCGGAUUGUAAACCCCUGUCAUGUGGGAGCAAAUUAAAAAGAUAGUACCACAAGAGGAAGAGACGGCUAACUCUGUGCCAGCAGCCGCGGUAAUACAGAGGUCUCAAGCGUUGUUCGGAAUCACUGGGGGUAAAGGGUGCGUAGGCUGUUUCGUAAGUCGUGUGUGAAAGGCGCGGGCUCAACCCGCGGACGGCACAUGAUACUGGGGGACUAGAGUAAUGGAGGGGGAACCGGAAUUCUCGGUGUAGCAGUGAAAUGCGUAGAUAUCGAGAGGAACACUCGUGGCGAAGGCGGGUUCCUGGACAUUAACUGACGCUGAGGCACGAAGGCCAGGGGAGCGAAAGGGAUUAGAUACCCUAGUAGUC